rnacentral:rRNA from 1 species
AGUGAACGCUGGCGGUGGGCCUAACACAUGCAAGUCGAACGGCAGCACAGUAAGAGCUUGCUCUUACGGGUGGCGAGUGGCGGACGGGUGAGGAAUACAUCGGAAUCUACUUUUUCGUGGGGGAUAACGUAGGGAAACUUACGCUAAUACCGCAUACGACCUACGGGUGAAAGCAGGGGAUCUUCGGACCUUGCGCGAUUGAAUGAGCCGAUGUCGGAUUAGCUAGUUGGCGGGGUAAAGGCCCACCAAGGCGACGAUCCGUAGCUGGUCUGAGAGGAUGAUCAGCCACACUGGAACUGAGACACGGUCCAGACUCCUACGGGAGGCAGCAGUGGGGAAUAUUGGACAAUGGGCGCAAGCCUGAUCCAGCCAUGCCGCGUGGGUGAAGAAGGCCUUCGGGUUGUAAAGCCCUUUUGUUGGGAAAGAAAAGCAGCAGGUUAAUACCCCGCUGUUCUGACGGUACCCAAAGAAUAAGCACCGGCUAACUUCGUG